UACGGAGGGGGCAAGCGUUGUUCGGAAUUACUGGGCGUAAAGGGCGCGCAGGCGGCUGCUCAAGUCAGGCGUGAAAGGCCUGGGCUCAACCCGGGAAUUGCGCUUGAGACUGGGCUGGCUUGAGACCGGAAGAGGUAAGUGGAACUGCGAGUGUAGAGGUGAAAUUCGUAGAUAUUCGCAAGAACACCAGUGGCGAAGGCGGCUUACUGGUCCGGUUCUGACGCUGAGGCGCGAAAGCGUGGGGAGCAAACAGG
rnacentral:rRNA from 1 species